GAUGAACGCUGGCGGCGUGCCUAAUACAUGCCAGUCGAGCGAACAGACGAGGAGCUUGCUCCUCUGACGUUAGCGGCGGACGGGUGAGUAACACGUGGAUAACCUACCUAUAAGACUGGGAUAACUUCGGGAAACCGGAGCUAAUACCGGAUAAUAUAUUGAACCGCAUGGUUCAAUAGUGAAAGACGGUUUUGCUGUCACUUAUAGAUGGAUCCGCGCCGCAUUAGCUAGUUGGUAAGGUAACGGCUUACCAAGGCAACGAUGCGUAGCCGACCUGAGAGGGUGAUCGGCCACACUGGGACUGAGACACGGUCCAGACUCCUACGGGAGGCAGCAGUAGGGAAUCUUCCGCAAUGGGCGAAAGCCUGACGGAGCAACGCCGCGUGAGUGAUGAAGGUCUUCGGAUCGUAAAACUCUGUUAUUAGGGAAGAACAAAUGUGUAAGUAACUAUGCACGUCUUGACGGUACCUAAUCAGAAAGCCACGGCUAACUACGUG
rnacentral:rRNA from 1 species